GGAGGCGAGUGUGAACAGCUGAGAGGUGUGAUUUCACAGGCUCGCUCUCCCCUGUCACGGCCCUGAUUGGGUUGGACAGCAGGCAUAGGAGAGGCCCUGGCUUCUAAAGGACACCAACAGGUGGAGGACCGCAGGGGCAGAGGGGGGAGUAUAAGGGAGGCUGAGCACUUGAAAAGGCCGGGAGCAUGUGGCCAUGUCUGGGCAGAAUCCACCAGUCAAGCAAAGAGGACGAUACACUGUAGCACUCUGCAGAAGAGGAAAGAUGGGAACAGAAAGGUGUGGAGAGAGUUUUCAUUUGUAGCUAGAUUGAGUUGGCAUUAGGCAGGUUUUUAACUGGAGUAGACUUUACAUGAUACUAAUUACAACAUUCGAGACUAAUUUAAACUUCUUUUCUCAUUCUUUAAUUGGCAAUGCAGUUGAGAUUAAAUGUUUUCAGAUAAUAUCACGGGAGCAGCCCAUUUCAUGUCUGGGAUGUCAAAAUGUCUUUGAAUUUUUUUUUUUUCAAUUCUUAUAUACAUAUAAUGGCACUAUAUAUAUAGCUCCAUUUUGAUUCGGACCGAGAUACUGGGUGACAUCUCUGUUUUACGAGACAGCAAAUGGGAGAUUUUACACCUCUGCCACUGGAAAUGGUGCUGUUAAAGGAAAUGGAGGUAUGAGAGUGUUACUGGGUUUUCACCUGAGGUGUCAUAGCUUGUCUUUGAUCUACUGUAUAUCAGUCUCCCAUAUCCAGGAGUAAAAAGGGGGCAGUUUGUGCAUUUUAAGGUUUCCAUGUGGCAGAAUGAGAAACCUUCAGGUCUAUUUAAAUGUGAGAAGAUGUUUGAGUGUUAGAUGUGCUAGUCCUCUCCUGCUUGGCUGGCUAACCUCCAUGUCCCUUGUCCAUGGACACUUGUCAACAGUUCAAUGAUGAAAAAGGAAGAGAUAACUACAUACAGGUAAGCAGCAAGAAUGAUUUGCUGAACAUAUGAACAUUGCUGAACAUAAGCUCCUUUAGUCUUCCUCUGCCUGCCGUUCUCUCUAUCUGAAGCAGCACGCCUUGCUGUGGCUGGUCAAAUGGAACCAAGUCAGGUGUUUCUGUGAGGUUUGGUCCCCUUCAACCAGCUACUGCGUCGUGAAUACAGCCAACAUAGAGCAAAUAUUUCAAGAGAGUCAUUCAGUAGUCUGCUUUUUUGGAAUUUAAAAUGUACUAACCCUAAAAAAAAAUUUCAUUAUGGUUUUUAAUUCUUAUAAAAUUCAAUAAACUAUUUUCUUUUUCAAUGUUGUGUUCAUUUUCUCCUUCUUAAUUAUAAUAGCAAUUAAUUAUUCUUUCUACAAUAAUCAUUCAGUCCC
ensembl:lncRNA